rnacentral:rRNA from 1 species
UGAACGCUGGCGGCGUGCUUAACACAUGCAAGUCGAACGAAGCACUUAUGACAGAUUCUUCGGAUGAUGGAUUAAAUGACUGAGUGGCGGACGGGUGAGUAACGCGUGAGUAACCUGCCUUUCAGAGUGGAAUAACAUUUGGAAACGAAUGGUAAUACCGCAUAAUGUCAUGGGACCGCAUGAUCCUAUGACCAAAGGAGCAAUCCGCUGAAAGAUGGACUCGCGUCCGAUUAGCUAGUUGGAGAGGUAACGGCUCCCCAAGGCGACGAUCGGUAGCCGGACUGAGAGGUUGAACGGCCACAUUGGGACUGAGACACGGCCCAGACUCCUACGGGAGGCAGCAGUGGGGAAUAUUGCACAAUGGGGGAAACCCUGAUGCAGCAACGCCGCGUGAAGGAAGACGGUCUUCGGAUUGUAAACUUUUGUUCUUAGUGAAGAAACAUGACGGUAGCUAAGGAGAAAGCCACGGCUAACUACGUG